GCUUGGGUGUGGGGGGUACAAAGUGUUAUCUGCAGCUCCGCAGACCUUCCUCUUUGAAGUGUUGCUGAGCCACCGGCUGAGCCAGGGACAGUGAAGGUGGCAGGCAGGCAGGCUGGAGGAAAUGCAGACAAAACAACAAAGGGCGGCCAUCUUUCCUUACAGAGAUUAAUGGAGAAAGCAUAUGGUGGCCAUGUGUUGGAGAACGAAUGCCUGCAAGGCUGGAGGAGGGAUGUACAUGGGACACAAGUGGAUGGAAAGGAAGGUGAAUUGACAGACUGUUUUGCUUGCUCUCUCUGUUCACUGAAACUCUCCCUCAAGGAUUAUCCUCUCUAAUAGACUUAAAGGCACUUUAACUGAGCCGCCAGCUGCCUGCGUCCCCCGGCGGGCGGAAAGCCACCCAGGUCAAGUCUGAGGAGGAUAUCCUACCAUGACAAUGCAACACAUUCCUAUAGUGGCUUGAAUUCACGCAAAAACAAGGACAUUCCAAAGUUUAAGCGCUUGUAAUUAUUAAUAAGAGUAAUUUAUAGAAUUAAAAGGAGACAAUAAAUAACUCUGAAUUAAUGUACAUCUACACUGCUAAUGGUAAAUGAGAUUAAUGUGUAAAUACAUACUAGAGCUGUAAUAGACAGUGAAGAGAGACAAAACAAAGAACACUUUCAAGCAAAAACAUCAAACAUUUCCUGGUUCUUCCCUCUUCCAUUUGACAAUUUGCUGCUUUUCUUUUUCUUUGAGUUCCAACCUGUUGAUCAAACAAGCCACGUGGACCUUAAAAACAGAAUAGUAACAUGCAUUUAAAGUGUUUUGUCACAUUUCAUACACUAAACAGUCAGAAGUUAACUGGCAUUUAAUAUAAUAGAAGUGAAAGCCUAAUCCUCUGUAUAAGUUUGUCAGUGUGAUGAAAACCACACAGAACGUAUGUUGGAGCUACAGUAAGCAUGACCAGAGCAGAACAGACAGCCUCCACAACAGCUCUGAGUUGGAUCAACAGUAAAUAAUUCAUCCAGAAGGAGGAGGAUGUGGGGACUGUGUGUAAUCUACAUCACUUUGAAUUGCACAGUGUCAAGCCAAUUUCUGUGCGGCGCAACACCAUGAGGAAAAGAGAUUUUCAGUUCAUAAAAACGUACUCAGUCUUCAGACAGACUAAUUACAGUGUUUAAGACUUACUUUCCACAAACUGUUAUGUGGGUUUUUUUGAUAUGUAGACGCUGCAUAUUAUCAUGGUAAAUGUCUACCAUAAAGUACACGUUUCUAGGUUCCAGCGUCACAUUUCACUGGCCUCAUAAUGUGGAAACAAUAUUAAAGGUCUGUGCCAAACACCUGUGUGGCAGGAAAAGACGAGGACAGGACGCUGCAGUCAAUGUGCCUUUUUCGUCUUCCGUUUUUUGAAUAAACUGAAUUUGGAAAUGAA